GAGAGAGAAAGAAGAAGAAAGGAAAAGAGGAAGAAGAAGAAGAAAGAAGAAGGGAAAAUCGACCGUAGAGCUUCACCGGAGCUGGGUCUUGGUAUUUUGAGCUCGGAUUAAUGAUCAGCUCGUCGAGAUCUUCGAUUUAAGUUGGUCGGUGGGAGAGUAAAAAAGAGAGAGAGAAAGAAGAAGAAAGGAAAAGAGGAAGAAGAAGACGAAAGAAGAAGGAAAAAUCGACCGUAGAGCUUCACCGGAGCUGGGUCUUGGUAUUUUGAGCUCGGAUUAAUGAUCAGCUCACCGAGAUCUUCAAUUUAAGGUUUUGAAGGAGUGUUGGGAAGAUUUAGAGUAUUUGGAGGUUCUUAAGCAAAAGAAGUGGAAUUUGGGGUUUCAUUGGUGUUCUUGAGAAAGGGGUUACACUCAAUAUACGUGUACCCACACAUCGGAUCUUUUUCGCACCGGGUACAAGCACCGUGUACAUUUGCAGGUGAUUUUACAGGUUACCCGCUUGGUGAUCAGGAGGCAGGCCCCAACGUGGAGUUUUCCUCUGAGGACUGGUGGGUCCCCGAUGUGUUCGAGUACGGUGCCGAUUGCACGAGCGAGGAUUAUGUUACAUAACAGCUGUGACUCCUGAGUGCUUCUUUUUUAUGUACUCCCUUUUUAUUACUUGAUGCUUAAAUUGUUAUAUCUUUGCUUAUAUAUCAUGCCUUUGGGCCCAAAUGUAUUUAACUUUUAUAACUCAAUUUGGGUAUCAAGUAUUUGGGAAACAAUGAUAGGUAUUAUUAUGAACAGGUUUUCUGCUGAAAACAUAACUCUGAUCUUAGUUUAGUA